rnacentral:rRNA from 1 species
CCGGAGCUUGCUCCACCGGAAAAAGAGGAGUGGCGAACGGGUGAGUAACACGUGGGUAACCUGCCCAUCAGAAGGGGAUAACACUUGGAAACAGGUGCUAAUACCGUAUAACAAUCGAAACCGCAUGGUUUUGAUUUGAAAGGCGCUUUCGGGUGUCGCUGAUGGAUGGACCCGCGGUGCAUUAGCUAGUUGGUGAGGUAACGGCUCACCAAGGCGACGAUGCAUAGCCGACCUGAGAGGGUGAUCGGCCACAUUGGGACUGAGACACGGUCCAAACUCCUACGGGAGGCAGCAGUAGGGAAUCUUCGGCAAUGGACGAAAGUCUGACCGAGCAACGCCGCGUGAGUGAAGAAGGUUUUCGGAUCGUAAAACUCUGUUGUUAGAGAAGAACAAGGAUGAGAGUAACUGUUCAUCCCUUGACGGUAUCUAACCAGAAAGCCACGGCUAACUACGUGCCAGCAGCCGCGGUAAUACGUAAGUGGCAAGCGUUGUCCGGAUUUAUUGGGCGUAAAGCGAGCGCAGGCGGUUUCUUAAGUCUGAUGUGAAAGCCCCCGGCUCAACCGGGGAGGGUCAUUGGAAACUGGGAGACUUGAGUGCA